rnacentral:piRNA from 1 species
UGAACAGGUGGGAGUACGGUAUG